GGAGUGUUGAUCUUACUUUCAAAGGCUUUUUAAAUUAAGCAUGGUGCUUAGGUUAAAAUGCUUUCCUAGAUUAAAGUAGACAUGGUGUCUAGUUUGAUUGUUUGGACCAAUAAUAUGUUGUAGUAGAUACUAGAUAUUUUGUUGGACUAAUCCCUACAAGGAACUCUCAAAUCAAUCUAGGUAAGUCAUAUGAUAAAUUCAAAUCAGAGAUGAAGCAAGGCACAUGAUGAACUUCAAUUACUUUGCACAAGAAGACACAACUCAUUCUUCAUAGAUUUAAGAGCUACAUAUUCAACAUAGAUGGAAGAACUAUGAGUAUCAAUGUUCGUUCACUUUAUCUUCUACUACAAGUUACUAUUUUCCUUAAGUCAUGCUCGUAUAGAACAUGAUAAAUAAAAUCUAUGCUAAAAUAAUCUCAAACACUAUCUUUUCAUUAGCAUAGAAGGAACACAAUAAAACUCUUGAUAAACAACCUGCAUUUCAAAAUUGUAUAUUCCUUCGGGUAUGUGUUGUCCACUAAUAUAUUGUAGGCAUAAUAAUGAGCAAAGUGGAAAGAAUAACAAGAUCAAAGAAUCAAAAAAAUAUGGCAUGAAAAAAGAAAAGAAAUAAGAAGUGCAAUAGAUGAGACAAGAUGCUCAUAAACAGCUUAAGCAAGGAAAGCUUCAAGUUGGAAGAGAAGAUCACCACAAGUCAUCUACCCUUCAUUACAUGGUCUCAUCACACUCCAAUGAUGAAGGUAACAUUUUGAGGUAAGUGGUCAUUGUUUUCCUCUUGAUCUUGGCAUGUACAUAAAUGAAGAAACAAACAUGUUUGAGUUACAAUUUCACUUGAUCCAACUUGAUUACUCAACAUGUUUAGAUCUUUAAACUUGAUUCUAGCAUUCACUUUAUUGAUCCCAUAAUCUUAACCAAGUGAGCCAAAAGUGCUCAUUUUAAUUUUGGAAUGUAAAGAUUGAUACAUUAUGCAUAGAUAGACAUUCUUCCAUGGGUUAAGCAAUUUAAAUCUUUUAUGCCACAUACUUAAAUGCUACAUUCAUACUAGUUCUUCUGAUCUUACCACUCAAGUUAUAAGUAAACAAAUUAUGCAACAUUAGCUUUGUCUUGUUCAAUGUGCCUAAGGUUAGAGAAGAAUAAAGAAAAAGAGUUAUGGUUCUCUUGGUGUUUUACAACCAAUAGGGCUAAUGCACUUGAUCUCUACCUUGUUUUUAUAAGCAAGACACUUUGAGCAAAAUAUGGAGGAGUUUGCACUACUACAUAAUUUUUUACCGCGGUGGGCAAAAUCACUUUACCGAGGCGGGCAAACCGACCACCUCAAAGGAAAGGUCACCACUAAUCAAUGUUAACUGAGGUGGUCCUAAUGUCUGCCUCAAUAAAUCAAUCAUGAAAAACAAAAAUAAAUAAAUAUAAAAACCUAGAUAAGCCUACUGAGCCCAUCCACGGCCCACCGAGCCUAUCCCUGGCCGCUGAAUCCGCACAUGCGCAUCGCCUCUCAUCAGGGCCGCCCUCCACCAAAUCCACCAUGUCAAUGCCACUUGAUCCGCUUGUCAGGCCGCCCAUCACUGGAUCUACUUGUCAUGGCCUCCCAGAGUGCCGCUGCAGCUAGAUCCACCUCCUCAAAGUGCCACCGCCACCAGGAGAGCCCUCCUUGAGUGCUAGCACAACCAGAUCUGCCUCCUUCAAACACCGUCACGCCCG
rnacentral:lncRNA from 1 species